UAGGUAAUGAUAUGAAAAUCUUCUAAAGACAUUACAGGAACAUGAAAAUGUAAUUAAAUACUCACAAUUUGUAAUGUUUUAUGUAAGUGGAACACAUUUAACUGAAAAUUGCUUUUAUAUAAUACUCAAACGAGACUAAAAACAUUUUAACUAGCGGAAUAAGUCUUCAAAUUGAUAAUCUGAACUAUAUAAGAGGAGAAACUUCAGGCAUUCAAAUACUUGAAAUGCUACAAAAUAUUUAUAUAAACUAUUAUUUAACCAUUUCUGUUUGUCGAGUGCUAUACAGUAAUCAAUAUAAAUGACAUCUCAAGUCUUUCUAUAGCUUUGACCACAUUUACCUCCUAAUUUUAAUUAUUAAUAUGUUGGAGCAGUGCAUACAACUCGAUUCCGAUCUUCUCUUUAAUGAGUAAAAAUAUGUCCUUUGAGACAGCAUUAAAGAGCACCUUGUAUAAAUUCAAAGCCAAGAGACAAGAUAUUCUUGAUUCUGAUGUCUUGUUCUUUUAUACAACAAUGUAAUUAAUAAGAGGAAAAGCAGGACAUAGACAUGGAGUCUAUUUUAAUCAAAAAUUGUCCAUAGAUUUUGAUGAUAAAAUUUAAAAAUCUACUACAUUUAGUUACAAAAAACUAGGUUGUGGGAACUUAUUUGUUCAAUAAAACACAGCUACUAAAUGCUGACAAGAAAAAAAGUUAGGUACCACCUUUCUUCUCUGCAGAUGGCCUGAGAUGGGUUAAUUUGAAAGAAUGCUUCCAAACCUGAGGUGACCCCUGGGAACAGCAUAAUCCACUGCUGUCUCCUACAUUCAGUUUCUCAGUUUGUGCUCUUUUAAUUUCGGGGGGAGGGAAGCCAGUCCUUUAAACCGAUCUUCAGCACGAUGGCAGAGGCAAGGAGUGUGGACAGGUGGCACGGUGUCUGACUUUGUUGCAGCAGCCACUUGGGCUUUCUCUGGGUCUUCUCUGCCCUAGGGAUAGCACCACUAUUGAAAACAUGUCUUUGUGACAUUCUUUAUGCCAGGAACUCCCAACGCAUUUUCCUUGAAACUGAUGAAAUGAAUAAAAAUAAACCAAGAGGUGUGCUGUUUGUUUCUGUUUCCUCCUUUCUGCAGCCCUUCUUGAUCAUCUAAUAUUUUUAAAUACAUUGUCGAUCAGCAAAAGGAGCAUAAGGCCUUUAUUGAUUUGUAGCAGAUGUAUUAAUAGCCCAGCCCCUAUUCCUUACCUGUAGCUGCUGUGAAGAAAACCAUCCUUAACACUCUACAAGGUCUCAUCUCCAGAAUUUGCACCUGUUUCUAGCCGAGGACUCUCUCUAGCAGCAUGGGAGCUUGAUACUGGGCAUGAAGUGGGAAGAAAAGGUGAGGGUAACUAAGAAGAAUCUCCCUGGAUUCAGUGAUGUAAUUCUGAGGCAUGUUCCACAUAGCUUCCCAUAGAAUUAAGCCCAGAUAUCUAACACAGGAACUUGCCUCUAAACACGUGUGGCAUUGGCUUUUCUAUCUUUCCUGUUUUAUUUUGUUCUCUCUUCCUUGUCUCACUUUCGCUGUGUCCUCACUCCUGCUUUAAGAAUACCCAAACAAAUACAUUCAUUUAUUUUUUUAGACUCUCAGAACACAGUUGAUAGUUGAACUUGUAAUCUAUGAUAAUCAGCUUGGAUGCUAUACUGACAGGAAGAUGGUGAACUCACAAUGUCUAAUUAAGAUAAAAUUAAAAAAUAUAUUGACUCAUGUCCAAAGAUUUAAAAAACCUAAGCGGCAGUGUCACAAUUUCUUCUUUUUAGUUCACAUGGUUUCUUAAACGCCUACAAUUAUUUUAAAGUAAGACUUGAGUCUAGGAAAAAUUGAGACAUAUGGAAUAAAUUACUAACCCAUUUCUCCUUGAAAUCCAUUAGAUGCUUGAUGAUUUUUCACAUACAUUUCUGAAUUGAAAAGCUACUUGUGAAUUAUUUUUAUAAGCAUAUCCUUAUGUAAUAUUUUGUUUUUAACAGUGAAUUGAAGGUUUAAAGAUUAAAUUAUUCUAUCCAGAGAAUAAAAAGCAAUUAUUUCACAAGGAGAACAUGUGUAUGUUGACACGACAUUUUAAAAUCUAGAUUUUAAAAUAGGUCCCAUAUACUUUUGAGUCAGUUAGAAUAUGUUUGUAUCAGUCUGUCUACAGUUUUACACCUGUCAAAAUGUACUUGAACUACAACAAUUACCUUGAACAAUUUUGAAAUUUAUUAUUUCUCUGAAACUGAUUAAAAGAAUUAUGGUAGAGUGAAAUUCUGAUUGGCAUAAUUUGGGAGAGAAAUUAUUCCUUGGAGAUCAACCUCUGCCAUGAUAGUUUAUAAUGACAUUGAGACUUUUUGAUUUACAAAAUUUGUUAUAUAAAAAAUACUAAGACGAUGACAGAUAAUACACAGACUUUAAUUAAAAUUGUACUAAAAUUAAAUGUCUAAAUAAAUUAGAAGGGUACAUGGUACAUCUAACUGUAUGUUUAUAUAUUUUAUUUGUGCAUUUUAUUCUUAGGGUUGCUUUUGCUUUAGUUUGUAAAAUGUUCUUAUUUUUAUGAUAAUGUAGUAUAUACUAAAUAAAGAAAAAUCAGGAAGUAGAAAAUGAAGAAGAAAACAUUAGCUAUUGUCAACCAAAUAAAAAUUGUGCAAUCUCUAAGCACAUGAACUAUGUAUUAUUUGUACAGCACGUACAAUGUUUAUGCUUCACAGGGUGAGGUAGAGACUGCAAAACAUCGAACCUGGGACAAAUAAGAAAGUAAAGAAACUUUCACAACAUAUUAAUAUUAUAGAAAGUGUUGAACUUAACAGUUAAGAUACAAGUAGUGAAAAAUGAUAGUAUUUAAGGAGAUCUAGAAAAUUUAAUCUAUAUCUGUAAUGUGUUAGAAGUAUUAGAAUAAUGCUUGUAUUUCUGGAUUGGCAUCGAUUUCUAUUGAGACUGGAAACAUACUUUAAUCAUAUUGAAAU
rnacentral:lncRNA from 1 species